rnacentral:sRNA from 1 species
CAGAGAGCGAGAGAGAGGCUGAGAGUUUGGCUACAAGAGAGUGAGAACCAUCUUAUAGAUACAAUUGUAUCUUUUGGGUUAACCAGAGGCAAUAACUAAACGAAAAAAAAAGAUACAAGAAAAAAGAAAUGUUUCAAAGAGAGCGAGAGAGAGAGCAUAUCAUAAAAACGAGGUGGUCGUUUGUGGCGGCCCAACAUGCGUACAUACCCACACUCGUGCACACACAGAGAGAUAUUUGAAUUAAAUACCCGUACAUAUUUAAUUGUUGUGCUUGUUUUGUGGGGUUUUGCUGGUAUUGCUGCUAUCUGUGCCUGGUAAAGAGCCAAAUGCUAAGUGGAAUACAUACACUGCACAGAGAGAGAGAGUAUCUGUGCCUGCAUGGUGGGUUCGCCUGCUGUGGGUACUCGUACUCGACUACUACUGGCAUUCUAUGUGCUUUGUAGCGUUUGCGUUUCUCACUCGCUCGCUCGCUCGCCCGUUCGUGUGUGCGCACUGUGAGUGAGUGUAUGUAUGUGUUUUUGUUGCUGUUAUCUCUGACCCAACUAUUUUACGUUUCAACUUGUUCAUCAUCUUUUGAAAAAUUCUCAUUUCAGUUGUGUGUUUCACAUUGAAAACAACGGAGCAAUCACAGAAAUUAUCCAAAAUAAAAUAAUAUUAAAAAAAAAACACUGCACUGCGAACGCACGACCAACCAUCCAACAACCUACUCUACACAAAUUUCAAAUAAAACCAAAAUCUAAACAAAAAAAAAAUUACAAGCAAAACAAAAAAUCAUAAAAAACGUGUUUUUUUCUGAAAAAAAUCGUUACCAAAACGCAAACGACGAGUGAAAAAGCCAAAAGUCAAAUCUAAUCAACCAAAUAAUAAAAAUAAAAUUUGUUUGAACAAGAUAAACAGCAAAAGUGAGUUUCCCCCCCUUACUUCAAAAAUAAAAUAUUUUCAAAAAUAUUAGCUGUAGUUUUGUUAAGCAUUAUUUUUAUAAGUUAUCUACUUGUUUUUAAGGGUCUUUAGUCUAAUCCACCUGAGUAGCUAAAAAGAAAAAAUCCGAAAAAUCUGUUAUAAAAAACGUGUUUCAAUCCAAACACCACUAAAAUCUCACAAAACCCAACUGAAAGAAAAAAAAAA